rnacentral:ncRNA from 1 species
CGACCCCAGCUCAGGCGAGAACACCCACUGCGUUUAAGCAUAUAAUUAAGCGGAGGAAAAGAAACUUACAAGGAUUCCCCUAGUAACGGCGAGCGAACCGGGAAGAGACCAGCAUGAAAAUUGGGUGGCAGCGUCGCCUGAAUUGUAGUCUGUAGAAGCGUCCUUAGCGGCGGACCGGGCCUAAGUCCCCUGGAAGGGGGUGCCUGAGAGGGUGACAACCCCAUCGAGCCUAGACCCUGCCGCACCAUGAGGCGUUGUAGACGAGUUGGGUUGUUUGGGAAUGCAGCCCUAAUCAGGUGGUAAAUUUCGUCCAAGGAUAAAUACGGGCGAGAGACCGAUAGCGAACAAGUACCGUGAGGGAAAGAUGAAAAGGACUUUGAAAAGAGAGUUAAAGAGUGCUUGAAAUUGCCGAGAGG